ACCAUUAAUGCAUAACACACUGGCUGGUACUAUAUAUAUUGUUGAGGUAAGGCCGAAGAGAGCAAGAGCAGAUCACAUGGGGCUGUAUUCCUUCUCCCGUUAUAUCAUUCUGGUAUUAUUACUCUCUGCAGCAAUCUUGGCCACGCAGCCUUAUCAAAUCAGUGCAGAUAUUAAAGUAAUUAGAAAACUAGCACGCAUGCCGAGUCCUCCCCCUCCACCAAAACCAAACUCGAGGAGAGCCCAGAGACCAUCAGAGCCUCCGCCUAGUUCUGUACAAGUUGAAAAUUAGGAUCCUUCAAUCAGCAUAUGUUAUUGAAGUAAUAAGAGUGGAAUAUUUCUGCAUGUAUGUCUCCUUUUUAUGCGAUCAAUGUAAGAUUUGGGUGUUUCUCAAUAGGCUGAAUGAAAUUUAGACCA